GACGAACGCUGGCGGCGUGCUUAACACAUGCAAGUCGAACGGAAAGGCCCUGCUUUUGUGGGGUGCUCGAGUGGCGAACGGGUGAGUAACACGUGAGUAACCUGCCCUUGACUUUGGGAUAACUUCAGGAAACUUGGGCUAAUACCGGAUAGGAGCUCCUGCUUCAUGGUGGGGGUUGGAAAGUUUCGGCGGUUGGGGAUGGACUCGCGGCUUAUCAGCUUGUUGGUGGGGUAGUGGCUUACCAAGGCUUUGACGGGUAGCCGGCCUGAGAGGGUGACCGGCCACAUUAGGACUGAGAUACGGCACAGACUCCUACGGGAGGCAGCAGUGGGGAAUAUUACACAAUGGGCGGAAGCAUAGUGCAACAACGCCGCGUGCGGGAUGACGGGCUUCGGGUUGUGAACCGCUUUCGCCUGUGACGAAGCGUGAGUGACGGUAAUGGGUGAAGAAGCACCGGCUAACUACGUG
rnacentral:rRNA from 1 species